UCGACGGCGGUGUUUGGCACCUCGAUGUCGGCUCAUCACAUCCUGGGGCUGAAGCCGGUCCCAAGGGUAUGGCUGUUCGCCAUUUAAAGUGGUACGCGAGCUGGGUUUAGAACGUCGUGAGACAGUUCGGUCCCUAUCUGCCGUGGACGUUUGAGAUUUGAGAGGGGCUGCUCCUAGUACGAGAGGACCGGAGUGGACGAACCUCUGGUGUUCCGGUUGUCACGCCAGUGGCAUUGCCGGGUAGCUAUGUUCGGAAAAGAUAACCGCUGAAAGCAUCUAAGCGGGAAACUUGCCUCAAGAUGAGAUCUCACUGGGAACUUGAUUCCCCUGAAGGGCCGUCGAAGACUACGACGUUGAUAGGCUGGGUGUGUAAGCGUUGUGAGGCGUUGAGCUAACCAGUACUAAUUGCCCGUGAGGCUUGACCAUAUAACACCCAAACA
rnacentral:rRNA from 1 species